ensembl:sRNA
GGCGCCGGUGGUGGCACUCCCUGAGGGACGGGGUUCGAAUCCCCGCGGCGCC